AACGUAGGACACAAGCGUUAUCCGGAAUUACUGGGCGUAAAGGGAGUGCAGGCGGUUGCGUAAGUUAGGCGUGAAAGACUUCGGCUAAACCGGGGGAGGUCGUCUGAUACUGCGUAACUAGAGUAUGGUAGAGGCGUGUAGAAUUCCGGGUGUAGUGGUGAAAUGCGUAGAGAUCCGGAGGAAUACCAGUGGCGAAGGCGGCACGCUGGGCCAUUACUGACGCUAAGACUCGAAAGCAUGGGUAGCGAACGGG
rnacentral:rRNA from 1 species